rnacentral:rRNA from 1 species
GGAUUGCCCUAGUAACGGCGAGUGAAGCGGCAACAGCUCAAAUUUGAAAUCUGGCGCAAGCCCGAGUUGUAAUUUGUAGAGGAUGCUUCUGGGUAGCGACCGAUCUAAGUUCCUUGGAACAGGACGUCAUAGAGGGUGAGAAUCCCGUAUGUGACCGGCCCGCACCCUUUACGUAGCUCCUUCGACGAGUCGAGUUGUUUGGGAAUGCAGCUCUAAAUGGGAGGUAAAUUUCUUCUAAAGCUAAAUACCGGCCAGAGACCGAUAGCGCACAAGUAGAGUGAUCGAAAGAUGAAAAGUACUUUGGAAAGAGAGUUAAAAAGCACGUGAAAUUGUUGAAAGGGAAGCGCCUGCAACCAGACUUCGCGGCAGUGUUCCGCCGGUCUUCUGACCGGUUCAUUCUCUGUCGCGAGGCCAUCAUCGUCUGGGCCCGCCGGAUAAGACCUUAGGAAUGUAGCUCACCUUCGGGGGAGUGUUAUAGCCUAGGGUGAUGCGGCGAGGCUCGGGCGAGGUCCGCGCUUCGGCAAGGAUGAUGGCGUAAUGGUUGUCGGCGGCCCGUCUUGAAACACGGACCAAGGAGUCUAACAUCUAUGCGAGUGUUCGGGUGUCAAACCCCUACGCGUAAUGAAAGUGAACGGAGGUGGGAACCGCAAGGUGCACCAUCGACCGAUCCUGAUGUCCUCGGAUGGAUUUGAGUAAGAGCAUAGCUGUUGGGACCCGAAAGAUGGUGAACUAUGCCUGAAUAGGGUGAAGCCAGAGGAAACUCUGGUGGAGGCUCGCAGCGGUUCUGACGUGCAAAUCGAUCGUCAAA